GCAGUGAGAGCACGCAAGCGUCCAUAGGAAAGCAUUGAUAAUGCUUUCCUAUGCGACCGGCUGAAUGCGCGCGCAGCUCUUGCCGCUCGUGCGCAUUCAGCCGACGGGGCGGAGGAGAGGUGGCAGAGAGCUCCCCGCCCAGCGUUGGAAAAUGGUACGUUUUCCCCCUUCCAGAGCCGGGCGGGAGGGAGACCCUGAGGGUGGGGGCACCCUCAGGGCACUAUAGUGCCAGGAAAACGAGUGUUUUCCUGGCGCUAUAGUGGUCCUUUAAGUCUCCUUGUUCCAUGCCAAUUAGGAUAUCAUUGCAAACUUAUAAGAGGGCAGUCUAAGUUGAGUGAUUUGGACGAAAGUCUAAUUGAGGGGUCAGAUAAUUUGAUUGUUGAUAAUAUUCACAUAGUUGCGUGUGGGCACAUUUUUUUAAGAUUUAAGUAAUUGUCACCACUUUUAUGGAUAGGUACUACUUUUGCAGUCUCCCAGAGUUUUGGUAUGUAUCCUGACACCAGGGAUUCAUUGAUAAGGGUAGUGACAGGUUUAGCAAUUGCUGGCGCACUGAGCUUCAGCAACAUUGCUGAGAUUUGAUUUGGUCCACACUGGUUUUAACUAACAAGCACAGGUCUAAAAUUGAAUUUCUCUAUAAGAGGAUUUUGAAGAUUUGGCAGGGCCUGAUCUUUAUUUGUGGUCUGGAAAUGAGCGUCAUUCAUUAUCUUAGCUACCAGGGUGGUAGCACAUCCAACAAAGUAAUUAUUAAAGGCAUUUGCUACAUCUAGGAGGUGUUGAAGUGUUUGGUUGUCCAUUUUGGUGGGUUGUGGGAGUUUGUAUGUUGUUUAUGAUUUUCCAAAAGAUUCUUGGGUUUGAUAUGUUAUUGUUCAAAUUUUCACUGAAAUAUUGGGCUUUUACCACUUUUAUUUGUUUUGUGCAUGCAUUUCGUCAUUGUAUAUAUUUGGUAAGCUGUUGUAUGUUAAAGGGACUGAGCUUGGUGUUUGUACUGUAAAAUAAGUGAGUACAUCUCUUUUUGUUUUUAUCUAUUUUAAGAUCGCAGUGUGCACUAGAUUUUCCUUCCUGUUUUUUAUACCUAUGAUGAGACUUUUAAUCUACCCACACUUGAGAGAGGACUCUGCACAUAUAUCCAAGAGUGAAGAUCAUAUUCUAUACAGAGUUUACUAUUUUUUUUUUUUUUUUUUUUUUUUGGGAUUCCUAACAUACUACACUACUUUGGUGUCUCUGAUGUGUUUACAUUACAUAUACAAAUUAUACUCUAUUGAAGCAAGAAUUGAGACCUUCACCCACAGGUGCGGAUUAUACCACCCAUGCGCUACAUCUGGAGCUAAGUUAUAGCUCCAAAGGCUGUAAGUGUAUCUCUUUUUUCCAUUUUGUCCUCUUUUUCCACCACAUAUAAUCUUUAACUUGUAGACUGCUCCAAGAUGCUGCUCCCAAACUUCAUCUCAUCUUACUUAGAUGAAUUUAAGAAUGUUUUUAAUAUUGAACAUUUUACCUAAUUGUUAUAAUUUGGGUCUCCACAGACUGCAAAGGUCUGUUUAGUAAAAGAAACCCCAGAGUGACAGACAUUAUGUCUGGAAGAGUUUGUGAGAGUCUAGAAGGGACAUAAUCUGAAAGAGAGACUAAGAAAGACCAAACUUAAAACAAGACAAAAUGUUCUAUAGCACAGCAUGAGUGUGAAUGUAGUAUUUAGGUCAUCCAAAAUAAAGCAUUUUCCACACCCACAUGGUGUAUUGCCUCAAAAGAAGAUGGGCUUAAUGAUCUAGGAAGAUCAUUGUCUAUUUUGGACAUAGAUAUAAAAUUCCCUGGUCAUUUCUCCAAAAUAUUUCACUUUAGGUGAAUGUUGAACAUUAACAGUUUCUGUUUUGCUAUGUGGUGGUCAACUGUAGACUGGUUUAGAUGUGAGCUCUGUUUGAUAUUUGGUCAGUGACAUCCUAAGAGCAGUGAGACAUCACUGAAAAUGUAUGCGGCUAAUAAAACACUUCUAAAGACAUACAGUCACAGACGGUUAUCGGGUAAGGUGUUAAGGAGAUAAUUUCCUACAGGAAAGUUAUGCUUUAUACAGAAUAGUUUGUCGCCAUUACAUUGCCCAAUUUAUUCUAAAUCAAAGUUGAAAGAUAGCAGGACAUUUUAGGACUUAUUUAGAAAACUGUGUAGUGAUUUGAAAUCUGAAUAGCAAUAUUUGAACUAAACUCUCAAAGAUUCAACUUUAGAUAAAAAGUAUGUUUAAGAAAAUUAACUGUGUUUUUACUAGAAAGAACAUGGGCCUUAUUGAUCUAGAAACUUUUGCAUGUUAGCCCUAAAGAGUUAUAUCUUCAUAUUUGAUUUGUCUGUUUUGGACACAAAUUUAAAAUUCCUGGGUCAUUUCUACAAAAUUCCAUGUUUGAUGAACAUUCCAAUGUUCAUCAAUAACAAUUUCCCCCCAUUUAGUCUUAAUUCUGUAUGUAUAUGUUUUUGCUCUGUAAUAGUUGAGUAUAGACUAGCUUAGACCUGAACUGUGCUUGGUUUUUGUAGGCAUUGAAAGUGUCAUCAGAAGAGCAGUGUGACAUCACUGACUAUCUCCAUGUGCAGACUGAAUAUCGUAGUCAUUGUGUUAAGGAGAUAAGAUCUUUGGGCAAGCUUAUUUUUUUAGGGAGUAAGAACAAUACUUAUAAUACUUAUACUAUUUCGUAGUCAAAUAGAGAAACCGGAAAGAUGUGUGCUAUAGUUUUUGUUUAAUUGAACUGUUAUUGAACUGUAAACUUUUUUUUUUUUUAAAUUAUGUUUUCGAUUGGUUUAGUUUACUAUUUUUUUUUUUUUUAAACUUAUUACCCCGCUUUUUUUCCCCCUUUUAAAAAGAAAAUCUACUAGUUUGUCUAAACUGUUUGUGAAAUGUUUUUAUUACCUGGAAUAUCUUAUUAUGUUAUUAUGAAAGUUUAAGACCUGUAUGUAUUUUCGGUACAUGUUAGGUAAUUCUCAUUAGAGAGAUCUUGCCAGAAGCUCAAGGAAGCAAGGUAAAGGGUCAUAGUAGGACCCGUCUAUGGGAGUCUGCCUUGACAUUGGCAGGCAGGCAUUCCCUCCAGUGGCCAUUGGAGUAACUAAAUGACUUCCAUUAGUUUAAAUACACAUAAGGAUUAUGUAUAGGAAAAUCUGUGGUCAGACUUAAAGAUUGCUGUUCACAAGCGCAAACCAUCCAACUUGAAGGAGCUGGAGCAUUUUUGCAAGGAGGAAUGGGCAAAAAUCCCAGUGGUAAGAUGUGGCAAGCUCAUAGAGACUUAUCCACAGCGACUUGGAGCUGUGAUUGCUGCAAAAGGUGGCUCUACAAAGUAUUGACUUUAGGGGGUGAAUAGUUAUACACAUUGACCUUUUCUGUUAUUUUGUCCUAUUUGUUGUUUGCGU